rnacentral:rRNA from 1 species
UACGUAGGUGGCAAGCGUUAUUCGGAUUCACUGGGCGUAAAGGGUGCGCAGGCGGUUGGGUGUGUCAGAUGUGAAAUCCCGAGGCUUAACCUCGGAACUGCGUCUGAAACUACUCGACUAGAGUACUGGAGAGGGUAACGGAAUUCACGGUGUAGCAGUGAAAUGCGUAGAUAUCGUGAGGAACACCAGAGGCGAAGGCGGUUACCUGGACAGUUACUGACGCUCAGGCACGAAAGCAUGGGGAGCAAAAGGG